AUUGAACGCUGGCGGCAGGCCUAACACAUGCAAGUCGAACGGAGCGGCGGAGGGGUGCGUAUGACCUAGGAAUCUGCAUCGUGGUGGGGGAUAAGGUCCGGAAACGGGCGCUGAUACCGACUCCUAUCAGCAGAGCCUAGGUCGGAUUAGGUAGUUGGUGGGGUAAAGGCAUACCAAGGCGACGAUCCGUAACUGGUCUGAGAGGAUGAACAGGCACACUGGAACUGAGACAUGGUCCAGACUCCUACGGGAGGCAGCAGUGGGGAAUAUUGGACAAUGGGCGAAAGCCUGAUCCAGCAAGGCCGCGUGUGUGAAGAAGGCCUUCGGAUUGUAAAGUACUUUAAGUUGGGAGGCGUUACCCGCAGAAUAAGCACCGGCUAACUUCGUGCCAGCAGCCGCGGUAAUAC
rnacentral:rRNA from 1 species